UGCAAAGAAACAAGACCUGUCAGGAUGGGG
rnacentral:piRNA from 1 species